GGAAUAUUGCACAAUGGGCGAAAGCCUGAUGCAGCGACGCCGCGUGAGGGAUGACGGCCUUCGGGUUGUAAACCUCUUUCAGUAGGGAACAAGGCCAGCAUUUUUGUUGGUUGAGGGUACUUGCAGAAGAAGCGCCGGCUAACUACGUGCCAGCAGCCGCGGUAAUACGUAGGGCGCAAGCGUUAUCCGGAAUUAUUGGGCGUAAAGAGCUCGUAGGCGGUUUGUCGCGUCUGCCGUGAAAGUCCGGGGCUCAACUCCGGAUCUGCGGUGGGUACGGGCAGACUAGAGUGAUGUAGGGGAGACUGGAAUUCCUGGUGUAGCGGUGAAAUGCGCAGAUAUCAGGAGGAACACCGAUGGCGAAGGCAGGUCUCUGGGCAUUAACUGACGCUGAGGAGCGAAAGCAUGGGGAGCGAACAGGAUUAGAUACCCUGG
rnacentral:rRNA from 1 species